GUCAGUGUGGCCGAGUGGUUAAGGCGGUUGACUUGAAAUCAGCUGGGCUUAGCCCGCGCAGGUUCGAAUCCUGCCGCUGACG
rfam:Nematocida parisii ERTm3 unplaced genomic scaffold supercont1.5, whole genome shotgun sequence.